ensembl:lncRNA
UACAAUACCCCGUUGUUCGUGUAUGUAUAAUCGAAUUGCAUUUUUCUAAUUAAGGUGGAUCCCAAUCAUUUUUAUGAUGCUUGUGUGAGAGACUCAUGUGCUUGUGAUAGCGGUGGGGAUCAUGACUGUUUAUGCACUGCUAUAGCAGCCUAUGCACAAGCCUGUAAUGAGGCUGGAGCCUGUGUUGCCUGGAGAACACCUAAAAUAUGCCGUGAGACACUGCUAAUUUUCUUAGUUUAAUUUGAAUCACUGAAAGAGACCAUCAGAGAAAAAAAGACAUUAAACAAAACCUUUUUUUCUCUCUUACAGCGUUGUUCUGUGAUUAUUACAAUGCUCCUGGAAACUGUGAUUGGCAGUACAAACCUUGCGGAGCUCCUUGUCUGCAGACCUGCAGAAAUCCAACUGGGCAGUGCUCAAGUCAGAUACUAGCACUUGAAGGUUGUUACCCCACAUGUCCCCCUGGGCAUCCUUACUUUGAUGAGGAUACAAUGAAAUGUGUUAAAAAGGAGCAGUGUGGCUGUUAUGACAAAGAGGGGAAACAUUACGGCAAUCAGGAGAUAGUUCCUUCAAUAGAAAAUUGUCAGAUAUGGUAUGCUAUCAUUUCAUGUAAACAAAUACAGUCUACGGUCAUAAAAUGUAGUUUUCAUUUUAAAACUGUUUUUUUUUAAAGCUAUUGCAAGUCCAUGGAGAUCAACUGCAAAUACAAUGCAACUGCUUGCACCUGCACAUUCAAAGGGAAUAAAUAUAUGCAUGGAGACACAAUAUAUAAUACUACAGAUGGGCUUGGCAGCUGCAUGACAGCUGUCUGUGAGGAACAUGGAAUAAUUAAAAAGACUUCAUACCCUUGUCAAACAUCACAUUCAACAACAACCUAUACUUCACCAACUAUCUUUGACUUUUCCCGUAAAAUAGCAGGUAAUAGUUUUACUACUAUCUUCUCAUGUACAAGUUUUUAGUUUAGGGAAGUUUUUAGUUUUUUAGUUUGGGGAAGUCAGUGUGUGUUCACUGCUGUGUGUGUGCGCUUUGGAUGGGUUAAAUGCAGAGCAUGAAUUCUGAGUAUGGGUCACCAUACUUGGCUAUAUGUCACUUCACUCACUUUCACUUUAUGUUUAUAUACUGUAUAUAUUUCUUUUUUCUCUGAGAUGAAACAAGUAUUUAAUGUGUUGAUACUUUUGAAGCCAAUCAUAUGCUUUGAAUGAAAUGAUGAUUUAAUGGGGAAUUAAAAGGGUCAUAUUGAAAAAAGUUAUUUAAAAGAGGAUAUACAAAUUAUAGAACAAUUUUGUCACUGAAACCAUUUUAGUUUUAGGAUUGUAUAGAACCUGUAACUUCCUGGUUUCUGAAAAAAAGUUUGUGUUGUUUAAUGCUCAUGAUGAUUACUAGUUAUCAGUGAUCUUUGAUAGUGAAAAAUAAAAGAUUUGAUUUUUUCUAUAUAUUCCCA